rnacentral:rRNA from 1 species
AAUACCCCAUAGUCUAUGGCAGCUGGAAUGCUCUAUAGUUGAAAGAUUUAUCGCCUUAGGAUGGGUCUGCGGCCGAUUAGGUAGUUGUUGGGGUAACGGCCCAACAAGCCUUUGAUCGGUACGGGUUGUGGGAGCAAGAGCCCGGAGAUGGAUUCUGAGACACGAAUCCAGGCCCUACGGGGCGCAGCAGGCGCGAAAACUUUACAAUGCGGGAAACCGUGAUAAGGGAACUCCGAGUGCCCGUAAACGCGGGCUGUCCAUCUGCUUAAAAAACAGGUGAAGAAAGGGCCGGGCAAGACCGGUGCCAGCCGCCGCGGUAAUACCGGCGGCUCGAGUGGUGGCCACUAUUACUGGGCUUAAAGCGUCCGUAGCUUGGUUGUUAAGUCUCUUGGGAAAUCUGUCGGCUUAACCGACAGGCGUUUAAGGGAUACUGGCAAUCUAGGGACCGGGAGAGGUGAGAGGUACUCCAGGGGUAGGAGUGAAAUCCUGUAACCCUUGGGGGACCACCUGUGGCGUAGGCGUCUCACCAGAACGGCUCCGACAGUGAGGGACGAAAGCUGGGGGAGCAAACCGGAUUAGAUACCCGGGUAGUCCCAGCCGUAAACGAUGCGCGUUAGGUGUAUCGGUGACCACGAGUCACCGAGGUGCCGAAGGGAAACCGUGAAACGUGCCGCCUGGGAAGUACGGUCGCAAGGCUGAAACUUAAAGGAAUUGGCGGGGGAGCA